AUGCCUCUGCUGGCCCCCGGCAUCGUCCUUCGCGACGCGCGGACGCCGCGGGGGUUCGUCCAGCUCCUCGCCUCCUCCUCCUCCUCCUCCCCGCUUCCGCCGAGCCCGUCCGCCGCGGCGCAGUGCCAUGGGCUGGCCACCAAGCUCGGCCUCGCGGCCGGCAACGUCUUCGCGGGGACCGCCCUCCUCGCCUUCUACUGCCGCUGCGGCCGCCCGAGCGACGCCCGGCGGCUGUUCGACGAAAUGCCCGAGAGGAGCGGCGUCACCUGGAGCGUGCUCGUCUACGGCCACGCGCGGUCCAGCGCGCCCGGCCUCGCCGUGGAGGCGUUCGGGCGCAUGGUGCGCGCCGGCUUCUCCCCCACGCCGGCGGCCGUGUCCAGCGCCCUUGCCGCGUGCGCGAGGAUGGAGGACGCCCGCGUCGGGGCGAUGAUCCACGCCGCUGGCCUCAAGUGCAGUGGCGGCAUCUGUGGAAGCGUCGUCGUCGGGACUGCGUUGGUGGACAUGUACGCCAAAUGCCGUGAUGUUUCGGCUGCUCAGCGGGUUCUUGAGGAGAUGGAAGAGAAGAAUGUGGCCACUUUUACGGCUCUUGUGGGCGGGUUUGCCUCAGCCAGAAGACCUGGUGAGGCCAUGAUGUUUGUCAGGGAGAUGGAACAGUCAGGGGUGGCACCAAACAUGAUGACAUACAGCAGCCUUCUCAGCUCAUUUGCGAGUCCUGAAGACCUCAAUCAUGGGAGGCAAGCGCAUUGUGCGGUGCUAAAGAAGGGUCUCGAGCACAAUCCGUAUGUUCUGUCCACUCUUAUGACCAUGUACUCCAAGUGCGGCAUCUUAGAUGAUUUCAGGAAGGUGCAGAUGAGUGUUUCCUGUCAGGAUCAGGUCUCGCUCAACUCCGUGAUCUCGGGGCUCUCCUGUUUGGGAAGAGGUGACGAGGCAUUUCAGCAGUUCUUGGAGAUGAGACGGCAUGGCGCUGACACAGAUAUGUUCACCUUUGGCAGCAUGCUGAAGGCUAUAGGGAGCUCAUCCUCACUGCUAGAGGGAAGACAAGUCCAUGCUCUCAUCCUCAAAACUGGGUAUGAGUCUGAUGUGAAUGUCCAGAAUGGAUUGAUUUCCAUGUACGUCAGGCGCGGCGAGAUAGGGGAAGCCAGGGAUGUUUUCACUUCGGUGGAAGCGCCUGACUUGGUCUCCUGGAAUUCGCUUCUGACAGGAUAUGCUCAGCAUGGUUAUGGCAAUGAGGUGGUUGAGGUGUUUGAACAGAUGAGGAGACUGAAUGUUCAGCCAGACAACACAACCUUCUUGUUGGUGCUUACAGCUUGCAGCCACGCCGGUUUGGUGGAUACAGGGUUGGAGUACUUCAACUUGAUGAAAACAAACGGGUUUCUCGCAGGGGCACGGCUAGAGCACUACGCGUGCGUGGUCGAUCUUCUUGGUCGAGCAGGCCAUCUCCAAGAAGCAGAGGCUUUGAUCAACGACAUGCCUACUGAACCUGGCGUCUCGGUGUACAGAGCUCUGCUUAGUGCCUGCCAGAUCCACGGCAACCUUGAGAUUGCGGUCCAGGUGUCCACGCGCCUGAUCGAGCUCUACCCUCACGACUCCUCUGCCCAUGUUCAGCUGUCAAAGGCCUUUGCCGGUGAUGGCCACUGGGGUGAUGCUGCCGAGAUCAGGGAGGCCAUGGCAGGUAAAGGGAUAGUGAAGAACCCUGCUUGGAGCUGUGUCGAGGACCAGGUACAGGUUGGA
rnacentral:rRNA from 1 species